GACGAACGCUGGCGGCGUGCUUAACACAUGCAAGUCGAACGGAAAGGCCCUGCUUGCAGGGUACUCGAGUGGCGAACGGGUGAGUAACACGUGGGUGAUCUGCCCUGCACUUCGGGAUAAGCCUGGGAAACUGGGUCUAAUACCGGAUAGGAGCCAUCUUUAGUGUGGUGGUUGGAAAGUUUUUUCGGUGUAGGAUGAGCUCGCGGCCUAUCUGCUUGUUGGUGGGGUAAUGGCCUACCCAGGCGGCGACGGGUAGCCGGCCUGAGAGGGUGUACGGCCACCUUGGGACUGAGAUACGGCCCAGGCUCCUACGGGAGGCAGCAGUGGGGAAUAUUGCACAAUGGGCGCAAGCCUGAUGCAGCGACGCCGCGUGGGGGAUGAAGGCCUUCGGGUUGUAAACUCCUUUCGCUAGGGACGAAGCUUUUUGUGACGGUACCUAGAUAAGAAGCACCGGCUAACUACGUG
rnacentral:rRNA from 1 species